CCUACGCGGUGCAGCAGUGGGGAAUAUUGGACAAUGGGCGAAAGCCUGAUCCAGCCAUGCCGCGUGUGUGAAGAAGGCCUUCGGGUUGUAAAGCACUUUCAGUGGGGAAGAAAGCCUUGGGGCUAAUACCCUCGAGGAAGGACAUCACCCACAGAAGAAGCACCGGCUAACUCCGUGCCAGCAGCCGCGGUAAUACGGAGGGUGCGAGCGUUAAUCGGAAUUACUGGGCGUAAAGCGCGCGUAGGCGGUCUGAUAAGCCGGUUGUGAAAGCCCCGGGCUCAACCUGGGAACGGCAUCCGGAACUGUCAGGCUAGAGUGCAGGAGAGGAAGGUAGAAUUCCCGGUGUAGCGGUGAAAUGCGUAGAGAUCGGGAGGAAUACCAGUGGCGAAGGCGGCCUUCUGGACUGACACUGACGCUGAGGUGCGAAAGCGUGGGUAGCAAACAGGAUUAGAUACCCUAGUAGUC
rnacentral:rRNA from 1 species